GAUAGGUGGGAGGCUUUGAAGCGUGGACGCCAGUCUGCGUGGAGCCGACCUUGAAAUACCACCCUUUAAUGUUUGAUGUUCUAACGUGGACCCGUGAUCCGGGUUGCGGACAGUGUCUGGUGGGUAGUUUGACUGGGGCGGUCUCCUCCUAAAGAGUAACGGAGGAGCACGAAGGUUGGCUAAUCCUGGUCGGACAUCAGGAGGUUAGUGCAAUGGCAUAAGCCAGCUUGACUGCGAGCGUGACGGCGCGAGCAGGUGCGAAAGCAGGUCAUAGUGAUCCGGUGGUUCUGAAUGGAAGGGCCAUCGCUCAACGGAUAAAAGGUACUCCGGGGAUAACAGGCUGAUACCGCCCAAGAGUUCAUAUCGACGGCGGUGUUUGGCACCUCGAUGUCGGCUCAUCACAUCCUGGGGCUGAAGUAGGUCCCAAGGGUAUGGCUGUUCGCCAUUUAAAGUGGUACGCGAGCUGGGUUUAGAACGUCGUGAGACAGUUCGGUCCCUAUCUGCCGUGGGCGCUGGAGAACUGAGGGGGGCUGCUCCUAGUACGAGAGGACCGGAGUGGACGCAUCACUGGUGUUCGGGUUGUCAUGCCAAUGGCACUGCCCGGUAGCUAAAUGCGGAAGAGAUAAGUGCUGAAAGCAUCUAAGCACGAAACUUGCCCCGAG
rnacentral:rRNA from 1 species